rnacentral:rRNA from 1 species
GAUCAUGGCUCAGAUUGAACGCUGGCGGCAGGCUUAACACAUGCAAGUCGAACGGUAACAGGAGAAAGCUUGCUUUCUUGCUGACGAGUGGCGGACGGGUGAGUAAUGCUUGGGAAUCUGGCUUAUGGAGGGGGGAUAACGACGGGAAACUGUCGCUAAUACCGCGUAGAGUCGAGAGACGAAAGUGGGGGACCGCAAGGCCGCAUGCCAUAGGAUGAGCCCAAGUGGGAUUAGGUAGUUGGG